UUAACAUGUGCGCGAGUCAUUGGGUGUUACGAAACCCAAAGGCGAAGUGAAGGUAAAGGUUCGGCUUGUCCGGACUGAGGUGAGAUCCUGUUGCCUUGCUCAUACUUCCCAAGUUGCGAGCAGCGGGCGCAUCACCGGCCCGUCCCAUGACGUAGACAUGUGACCUCGUGUUGUGUGCACCGUCGGGGCGGAGCAAGAGCGUACACGUUGAGACCCGAAAGAUGGUGAAUAUGCUUGUGAAGGUUGAAGCCAGAGGAAACUCUGGUGGAGGACCAUAGCGAUUCUGACAUGCAAAUCGAUCGUACAACGUGAGUAUAGGGGCGAAAGACUAAUCGAACUAUCUAGUAGCUGGUUCCCUCCGAAGUUUCCCUCAGGAUAGCUGGCAUUCUGAGAAAUAAACAGUUUUAUCCGGUAAAGCGAAUGAUUAGAGGCAUUGGGGAUAAAUCAUCCUCAACCUAUUCUCAAACUUUAAAUGGGUGAGAAGCUUAACUCGUGGUUGCUUUUCAGUGUUCCCGAGGGCCAUUGUCAUUGGGACAUUGUUAGGCAUGCCACCAUUUCUAACAUUAAUGAGUUUGACUGUCGUGUAAGCGGAAUAGGUCAACUUUGGCCUUUUCGUGCUGUGCAUAAUUGAUUCACGAGAUCAUUGAUCGGAAUAACUAUACAUGUGAUGUUAAUGUGUAUAUGAAUGGUGCGAAUGGUCCACCAGGGUUCUUGGUACCUGUGUGGUUGCGCCACAGGAUUGAGCUGUACUAUUCAGAUUGUAGCGUUAAAGCCUGUACGGUGCCUGGUUCCCCUGCUAAACGGGGUUGAGCUGUACUGUUUCGGUUUUUACGUGAAGGUCCGGAUGGUGUCUGGUUCUCCUGAAAACCAAUGUAAAAUUACCCUGGCCCACAAGGGUAUA
rnacentral:ncRNA from 1 species